rnacentral:rRNA from 1 species
ACAAGCGGUGGAUCAUGUUGUUUAAUUCGAUGAUACGCGAAGAACCUUACCAGGUCUUGACAUCCCGAUGCUAUUUCUAGAGAUAGAAAGUUACUUCGGUACAUCGGUGACAGGUGGUGCAUGGUUGUCGUCAGCUCGUGUCGUGAGAUGUUGGGUUGAGUCCCGCAACGAGCGCAACCCUUGUCUUUAGUUGCCAUCAUUCAGUUGGGCACUCUAAAGAGACUGCCGGUGUCAAACCGGAGGAAGGUGGGGAUGACGUCAAGUCCUCAUGGCCUUUAUGACCAGGGCUACACACGUACUACAAUGGCCGGUACAAAGGGCAGCCACUUAGCGAUAAGGAGCCAAUCCCGUAAAGCCGGUCUCAGUCCGGAUUGGAGUCUGCAACUCGACUCCAUGAAGUUGGAAUCGCUAGUAAUCGCAGAUCAGCACGCUGCGGUGAAUACGUUCCCGGGCCUU